rnacentral:rRNA from 1 species
UACGAAAGGGGCUAGCGUUGUUCGGAUUUACUGGGCGUGAAGCGCACGUAGGCGGUCUUGUAAGCUGGGGGUGAAAUCCCCGGGCUCAACCCGGGAACUGCCUUCAUGACUGCAAAGCUAGAGGACGCGAGAGGUUUGCGGAAUUCCGAGUGUAGAGGUGACAUUCGUAGAUAUUCGGAAGAACACCAGUGGCGAAGGCGGCAAACUGGCGCACUUCUGACGCUGAGGUGCGAAAGCGUCGGGAGCAAACAGG